GAUAGAUAGUAGCCAAUCAAUUCAAAUUUUAAAAUUUCCGUUGAAAACAGAACAUGGUUUAGCAUGGUUAAGGCGUAAACUUUCAUGAGCUCUUUGUGUUAGCCAUAACCAACAGUAACCUUUAUUCCAGUAAAAAUAUGACUCGGGUCACCUGAUGACCUUUUAAAGGGAACUUUCAAUGGUUUUAACAUUUCCUCGAGCUAUUUUCGGUUGUAACCUUUCAUUCAAAGCUUUUUUAGCUUUAAAAAUUCUCAUUUCUUCAAUAUCAGACAACUUCAAUGAUCCAAUUUCAAAUGAGAUGCUUCACUUCACAAAUUUAUACUGAGCGUGCCAGUCAAUGGUUCGGACUUUCAAAAGCUUAUUUCUCAUGCCUCGUAUUAUUUUUAUUACAUCGAUUGAUAAAGAAAAUGUAAAAUUUUUUACCCCGUUAAAGUAGUCAACAGAAAAUCGGAUUAUUUGUUUGGCAAUUCUUCAAAGUCGGAAAAUGGUACCUUUAAUCAUAUGUCCAAGGUUGGUUGUACAAAUUUUUCCCAAUUUUCUUGCGUUUUUCGACCACAAGCAGUGUAAAGUGUUAAUUAGAUGAAGCUAUAGCAAUUGUUGGAGUAUUACUACCGACUAUUUUGGCAUCUUUGACCUUUAUUUUAAAUACCGUGAUUCCAUCAAUAUCGGUCUUUGGAUAACGUCGGUGUGACAUUCUGCUUCAAAAUAAUUGAACUUUACUGUCAAAAUCUACAAGUGAUAAGAAAAUUCUUCUACUAUUUUUUUCAAAGAUCAGCUUUAAGCAUUUAACUUCAAUUGAAUUCAGAUGACCAGAGUCAUUUUGUUUGAGUUAAUUUGAGUUAGUUCAGUCAUCCAUUGAGGUUUGAUUCGAUGUUUAGUGUCAAUAAAUUUGAUUUUUCUGUAUGAA